rnacentral:rRNA from 1 species
AGUGGCGGACGGGUGAGUAACGCGUGGGUAACCUGCCUCAUACAGGGGGAUAACAGUUAGAAAUGACUGCUAACACCGCAUAAUAUAGCGAAACCGCAUGAUUUUGCUAUCAAAUAUUUAUAGGUAUGAGAUGGGCCCGCGUCUGAUUAGCUAGUUGGUGGGGUAAAGGCCUACCAAGGCGACGAUCAGUAGCCGGCUUGAGAGAGUGACCGGCCACAUUGGGACUGAGACACGGCCCAAACUCCUACGGGAGGCAGCAGUGGGGAAUAUUGGACAAUGGGGGAAACCCUGAUCCAGCGAACCGCCGCGUGAGUGAAGAAGUAUUUCGGUAUGUAAAGCUCUAUCAGCAGGGAAGAUAAUGACAGUACCUGACUAAGAAGCCCCGGCUAACUACGUGCCAGCCGCAGC